CAGAGAGAUACACUGACGACUUCCUCAGUCCCCGAAUAAAGUAAAUUAACCCUUGUGUGGUGUUGAGUGACACAGGAAGUUGCCUGUUAUCUUGAAACGUACGUUAAAAAGUGAGAAGUUGCUCACUCACAGAAAGCUAGUAAAUAAUUAAAUUUAAUUUUGUUAAAAAAAAAAAACAAAAAAAAAAACGAAAGAAAACUGAAAACGGGUCUCACAGACCCGAUUACCAUACAAGGGUUAAAAGCAGUAAAUUAAAAGCAGAAAGACACAGGAAGUUGCCUGUUGUUUUACGAGAAGUUGCUCGUUAAGCGAGAAGUUGCUCGCUAAGUGAGAGUUGCUCACACAAACAAAAAAUUGCUAGCAAUAAAUUUAAAGUGACCUCAGCUGUGCCGCAGCGAAAAUACUAACCUAAAUCCUCCUAGCGUGUAAACCCCUCUGGAAAUCACUGAACAUGAGUCAGAAUUAUUCAAAGACCACAGACAGGUCCGAUAAAAAAUCUAAAGUACCUGUAAAACCAAAAAUUAAUAAAAUACAAAAUAAAGUCUCAAAUAACGGCUCAGUACAACUCCCAUUUCCGGUUACGUGUAACCUACGUCCGCGACUCGGUGAAGACGUCCAUGAUCACGUAUCCAGAACAUGCGGGAGUGCUUAUGUGACUGACUUUGUUUACAACUUAAGAAGUUCAAUGCAUUCUAAUUUCUUUCCGGAGCCUUAUCCCGAACGAUUAUCGCCAGAAAACAGGUCAGUAGAAAUGUUGAAUAUCAUUUGUGAUAAGAAAAGUAGUCUGCUUAAAAAGUCCUGUAGAAAAUAUAUGAUAGAAUGCCGCGACGUGAUGCAUCAAAUGUUACCACUAUGGAAAAAGGGACCGGAACCAGGUGUAGAUACUUUUACAUCAAAUAAAACUAGUGCAGGCUCUGGCAUAGAAAAUAAAUCUACUGCGGGAAAAGCUAGUCUUGCAUGUUCAGCCUACAGCCCCGCCGCCUUACGAAGAUGAGACCGAAUUAAUAGUUGCUGCCGCAGCUGCACGCAAACAAUGUCAGCAUUCUGAUCCAACCAGCUCAAAAGAAAGCGACGAAAAAAAAAAAAAAAAUCUGAAUCACAUGCAACGGAUCUUAGCCAUCUCUUUAAACAAGAUCAGGAAAAACAAUAUAUACGCCGCAAGGAAGAAUUAGCAGAACAUAAAAAAAGAGAAAAACUUUUGAAAGAAGAAUGUGAGGAACUUAUGAAAAACAAUUUAGACGACUAUGAAGAAACUGCAGGCAGUGUCCACAAUAGACACCCACAUGAAACGCCACGAUAUCGUAGCUAGAGGUUUAGAGGUAGCUAAAGAAAUACCUGUUACCCGAACUUUAAUAAAGACUUAUCUAAAAGGAAAAAAAGGAAAAACAAAGCCGGAAUGACAAAGGUCCUCACGCCAACACUCGCGGUAGUAAACAAACAGACCCAAAGCAUGAUAAAGCAUCCACAACUGCAGAGUUUUUGUGGGUAAAUAAUGACAAAAUCACCAAUUUCUUUAAGAAUCUAAAGAAAUUCCUGCUAACAAUGUCCAGAGACAAAAUUGAC
ensembl:lncRNA